GCAUGUCAAGUGUGCCUCAGAGUCUUACCCCACCCACGUAUCAAUUUUGAAAACUGCAACAUUAGUAGGCGUUGCCUGGAGGACCGAGAGGGCGGAGCCGUGGCAGUGACGAAGAGACGGCUAACUAGACGAAGCUAGCUCCCUUCACUCUGAGCAGUCAUUAGAAGUGGAGGACGUUUCUCCCCCUCCUUACCCAGACACUCGAGAAGAAAGGGACCAAGUCUAUUUGGAGGAGACAAGCGGACAUGAGCCUUAUUGUUUUGAGCUUGUGAGUUGCCUGAAAUUACUGGAACCGACCCAACAGACCCAUCUCUGAACGUGAUCCUCUGGUGUCUGCAGCUGGUCUCCUGCUGAUGUCGUCGGGAUCAGGAACUUCCAGAAGAAUGUGCCUUUCAAUGACUCUUUCCCCCUUAUUUGUUAUAUUAAUUAAAUAAAUCUCAAUUUA